CGAACUCUGGUAUUGAUUGGUGCUUGCAUCAUGAUUUACAUUUGAGUGAGUGGCGAACUGGUGAGUAACACGUGGGAAACCUGCCCAGAAGCGGGGGAUAACACCUGGAAACAGAUGCUAAUACCGCAUAACAACUUGGACCGCAUGGUCCGAGCUUGAAAGAUGGCUUCGGCUAUCACUUUUGGAUGGUCCCGCGGCGUAUUAGCUAGAUGGUGAGGUAACGGCUCACCAUGGCAAUGAUACGUAGCCGACCUGAGAGGGUAAUCGGCCACAUUGGGACUGAGACACGGCCCAAACUCCUACGGGAGGCAGCAGUAGGGAAUCUUCCACAAUGGACGAAAGUCUGAUGGAGCAACGCCGCGUGAGUGAAGAAGGGUUUCGGCUCGUAAAACUCUGUUGUUAAAGAAGAACAUAUCUGAGAGUAACUGUUCAGGUAUUGACGGUAUUUAACCAGAAAGCCACGGCUAACUACGUGCCAGCAGCCGCGGUAAUACGUAGGUGGCAAGCGUUGUCCGGAUUUAUUGGGCGUAAAGCGAGCGCAGGCGGUUUUUUAAGUCUGAUGUGAAAGCC
rnacentral:rRNA from 2 species